rnacentral:rRNA from 1 species
UACGGAGGGUGCAAGCGUUGUUCGGAAUCACUGGGCGUAAAGCGCGUGUAGGCGGCCCGGUAAGUCCGCUGUGAAAGUCCAGGGCUCAACCCUGGGAUGCCGGUGGAUACUGUCGGGCUCGAGUCCGGAAGAGGCGAGUGGAAUUCCUGGUGUAGCGGUGAAAUGCGCAGAUAUCAGGAGGAACACCGAUGGCGAAGGCAGCUCGCUGGGACGUGACUGACGCUGAGACGCGAAAGCGUGGGGAGCAAACAGG